rnacentral:rRNA from 1 species
UGAACGCUGGCGGCGUGCCUAAUACAUGCAAGUCGAACGAAGAGCUACCGUGCUUGCACGGUAGAUUUCUUAGUGGCGAACGGGUGAGUAACGCGUUGGUGACCUACCCCAAAGACGAGAAUAACAGUUGGAAACGACUGCUAAUACUCGAUGUGGCCGAAGAGGUUAGAGUAUCUUCGACUAAAGGAGCAAUCCGCUUUGGGAGGGGCCUGCGUCCCAUCAGCUAGUUGGUAAGGUAAUGGCUUACCAAGGCGAAGACGGGUAGGGGACCUGAGAGGGUGGCCCCCCACAAUGGUACUGAAACACGGACCAUACACCUACGGGUGGCAGCAGUAGGGAAUAUUGCCCAAUGGACGAAAGUCUGAGGCAGCAACGCCGCGUGCACGAUGAAGGCCUUCGGGUUGUAAAGUGCUUUUAUGAGGGAAGAGGAAGGACUGUACCUCAUGAAUAAGGGUCGGCUAACUAC